GCGCCGGAGUGCCGUCCAGAGGUCGUCUUUCCGCAGAUGGUCCAAGUACUUGUCAUUUAUUAGCAAGUAAUCGUGAGUCAUCAACCCUUCAUGUUUCAGCCUGGAACAUUUGAGGUUGUUGUCUCAAAGGUAGGGAGUCGUAGGCCUUUCAUGGCAGAAUAUUCUUUGUAUUUGACCUGGAGACAAAUGGCUGGCGUGCUCCAACCGAAACAAGCAAAUGAGGUUAGAAUGAUUCCAGCCUCCAGUUGGGAGCCACAGGCAGAUGGCUUCUUCACCUGAACUGACGCAGAGCCCCUGACCACAAAUCUCACAGUCCACAGAACGAGCAGCACAGGGGGAAACAGACUGCGACAUUCCAGCAGGUGACGCAGAGAAAAGUGCUGAUAAAAACACCGACGACCAGAUGAGGGAAACGGAGAGCAGGUGUUCGGAAGUAGGUUGGAGAUUUGGAGUGAUUUGACAAUGAAAAAAAAGAAAAAAAAAACACCAACAGAACAGGAACAGGAUGAUCUAGAAACAGGUGGAAGAAUCUGGCGAGUGAUUGGAAUAUUAAUGAAAACUACAACUACUACAGAAUACUCACCGUAAAUACUGCGACGGUUUCAGCCUCCAGUUCUGGGCAAUGAACAGUUUAAGAAACAAAUCUUCAAACAUGAGUUUUGAGCAAAGGAGCUAAUAUUAAUGUUACUGGUCCCAAUAGAAGAAACUGUGAGGGACACAUCGGAAUCUCUAGGGGGCGCUAUGGCAUCUGUUGUCAAUGUUAGUCUUUGAAAAUUCUUUGGAAUCAAAGCAAAAAUGGAAGUUAAAACAAACUCCUCCCCAAGUUUAUACCCUGUAUUACUUAAAGUUACUAGAACUUUCUGAAUUCUUCCUCUUCGUGUUGACGGACAUUUCUGUCCAUCACUCUUUCAAAAUAAGAGUCUCUGACUUGCCUGCAGGGUUGGUUUUUUUUUACCGAUUUAUACUGAGAUGAGUUCAGGACUCAGGUCUAAUACCCUGCCCCCGGUGGUGUGUGCUGGAGGUGAGUGGGCCGAUCAGAUGUGCUUAUACCUUCAGUGUGUCCUCCACAGCAGCACAGUCUCUGUGAUAAUCCUGUUAGAGGUUUGGACUCAGGACGCUUCCUCUGCGUCGCCACACAUUCGCCUUAAAACUAAGCUGAAAAAAAAGAAA